UGGGGAAUCUUGCGCAAUGGGCGAAAGCCUGACGCAGCGACGCCGCGUGCGGGAGGAAGCUCUUCGGGGUGUAAACCGCUGUCAGAGGGGAAGAAAUGUCACGGGAGGAAAUGCCCGGGAUUUGACGGUACCCUCAGAGGAAGCACCGGCUAACUCUGUGCCAGCAGCCGCGGUAAUACAGAGGGUGCGAGCGUUGUUCGGAAUUACUGGGCGUAAAGCGCGCGCAGGCGGCUCUUUAAGUCUGUCGGUCAAAUGCCGGGGCUCAACCCCGUGCUCGCCGGAGAUACUGGAGAGCUGGAGACAUGUAGAGGCAAGCGGAAUUCCGGGUGUAGCGGUGGAAUGCGUAGAGAUCCGGAAGAACACCGGAGGCGAAGGCGGCUUGCUGGGCAUGGUCUGACGCUGAGGCGCGAAAGCGUGGGGAGCGAACAG
rnacentral:rRNA from 1 species